rnacentral:rRNA from 1 species
UAAGGAAUAUUGGUCAAUGGACGCAAGUCUGAACCAGCCAUGCCGCGUGGAGGAUGAAGGUCCUCUGGAUUGUAAACUUCUUUUAUAUGGGACGAAAAAGGGCUUUUCUAAGUCAACUGACGGUACCAUAUGAAUAAGCACCGGCUAACUCCGUGCCAGCAGCCGCGGUAAUACGGAGGGUGCAAGCGUUAUCCGGAUUCACUGGGUUUAAAGGGUGCGUAGGUGGGUUGGUAAGUCAGUGGUGAAAUCCCCGAGCUUAACUCGGGAACUGCCAUUGAUACUAUCAGUCUUGAAUACCGUGGAGGUCAGCGGAAUAUGUCAUGUAGCGGUGAAAUGCUUAGAUAUGACAUAGAACACCAAUUGCGAAGGCAGCUGGCUACACGAUUAUUGACACUGAGGCACGAAAGCGUGGGGAUCAAACAGGAUUAGAUACCCUGGUAGUCCACGCCUAAACUAUGGAUACUCGACAUACGCGAUACACU